UACGAAGGGGGGCUAGCGUUGCUCGGAAUGACUGGGCGUAAAGGGUGCGUAGGCGGGUCUUUUAAGUCAGGGGUGAAAUCCUGGAGCUCAACUCCAGAACUGCCUUUGAUACUGAAGAUCUUGAGUUCGGGAGAGGUGAGUGGAACUGCGAGUGUAGAGGUGAAAUUCGUAGAUAUUCGCAAGAACACCAGUGGCGAAGGCGGCUCACUGGCCCGAUACUGACGCUGAGGCACGAAAGCGUGGGGAGCGAACAGG
rnacentral:rRNA from 1 species